rnacentral:rRNA from 1 species
AUUGAACGCUGGCGGCAUGCCUUACACAUGCAAGUCGAACGGUAACAGGUCUUCGGAUGCUGACGAGUGGCGAACGGGUGAGUAAUACAUCGGAACGUGCCCAGUCGUGGGGGAUAACGAAGCGAAAGCUUUGCUAAUACCGCAUACGAUCUAAGGAUGAAAGCGGGGGAUCGCAAGACCUCGCGCGAUUGGAGCGGCCGAUGGCAGAUUAGGUAGUUGGUGGGGUAAAGGCUUACCAAGCCUACGAUCUGUAGCUGGUCUGAGAGGACGACCAGCCACACUGGGACUGAGACACGGCCCAGACUCCUACGGGAGGCAGCAGUGGGGAAUUUUGGACAAUGGGCGCAAGCCUGAUCCAGCAAUGCCGCGUGCAGGAUGAAGGCCUUCGGGUUGUAAACUGCUUUUGUACGGAACGAAAAGCUCUGGGUUAAUACCUCGGGGUCAUGACGGUACCGUAAGAAUAAGCACCGGCUAACUACGUGCCAGCCGCCGCCGUAA